rnacentral:lncRNA from 1 species
CAGAUCUUCACUGAAGUCUACAAUGCCCCGGAUUACUUCUGUAUAAGUAAAUUUCUUAUGAAAGUUAGUAAAAAGGACUUGGUUGGAUAAACAAUUCAUGUGACACAUUUUCAUUCUCCAGAACUUUGUAGGAUUUAACUUCAAAUAUUGCUGCGAAGAAGUUUCAGGGGAUCCCGAUUUUGUCUUCUGCGGCCUUUUAGAAAAUCUCACGUCACUUCCUGGUUGGAGCAAUUAAGCAAUAGAGAAGAUAGGUGUUCUGGAACAGAAUUUAAUGAAACAGAACUCCACCAUCUAUGGCAAGUUCGACUGCUUGAGUCUCCAGAGGAUAAGAGUUGGAGGCCACUGAAGCCCAAAUUCAUUAGUCAGGCCAUUGAAGGUCACAAGUGAACAAAGGAGGAUGGCAAAGACAGAACUGUGAUACUCAAACACUCAAUAGCUCACAGCGUGGGGGUUCAUUAUGACACUUACUAAGCACAUGCCAUAUUUCUGACACUGUGCUAAGAGUUUCAUGAAUAUUAACUAAAUUAACCUCAUAAAAAUGCCAUUAGAAAGAUGCAAUUUUGUAACCCCUUACACAGAUGAAGAAAAUAAAAUAUGGAGACUUUAAGAAAUUUUCCAGAAGUCUUAUAACUGGUGAGUAAAUUUUAGCUACUUGAUCAGACCUCAACCAGGUGAUCAAAACCCAGAAUUAAUACGGCUCAACCAAUACUA